CCUACGGGAGGCUGCAGUGGGGAAUAUUGGACAAUGGGGGCAACCCUGAUCCAGCCAUGCCGCGUGUGUGAAGAAGGCCCUCGGGUUGUAAAGCACUUUCAGUGAGGAAGAACGCCUGGUGGUUAAUACCCUUCAGGAAAGACAUCACUCACAGAAGAAGCACCGGCUAACUCCGUGCCAACAGCCGCGGUAAUACGGAGGGUGCGAGCGUUAAUCGGAAUUACUGGGCGUAAAGCGCGCGUAGGUGGCUUGAUAAGCCGGUUGUGAAAGCCCCGGGCUCAACCUGGGAACGGCAUCCGGAACUGUCAAGCUAGAGUGCAGGAGAGGAAGGUAGAAUUCCCGGUGUAGCGGUGAAAUGCGUAGAGAUCGGGAGGAAUACCAGUGGCGAAGGCGGCCUUCUGGACUGACACUGACACUGAGGUGCGAAAGCGUGGGUAGCAAACAGGAUUAGAUACCCUGGUAGUC
rnacentral:rRNA from 1 species